AAGAUUAAGCCAUGCAUGUCUAAGUAUAAACAAAUUUGUACUGUGAAACUGCGAAUGGCUCAUUAUAUCAGUUAUCGUUUAUUUGAUAGUACCUUACUACAUGGAUAACCGUGGUAAUUCUAGAGCUAAUACAUGCUAAAAACCUCGACUUCGGAAGGGGUGUAUUUAUUAGAUAAAAACCAAUGCCCUUCGGGGCUCCUUGGUGAAUCAUAAUAACUUAACGAAUCGCAU
rnacentral:rRNA from 1 species